CUCAUAAUAACAAUAUUAUUCAUCCUGGCUCACCACUAAAUCCUUUUUGGUUUUAAUGGUUCAACCUACCCCCUAUACUUUUGAACUAAAUGUUAUACACUGUGAAAUAAUAUUAUAGGUACUUAUCGACAGACGAAGUUCUUAAUGAGUUUUCUAAAGACAUUAUAUUUGUUUAAACCACUCUCAUCCAAUGACUAAUUCCUGGCUAUGCCACUCAAUGAUACCGGAAUCGGUGUACAGGGCGGGCAAUCGCCUGGUCAAAUUUUUUUGGUGGUGGAUGGAUGGAUGGUUCCAGUGGUGAGAAAUAUACAUAGUGU